ACAGCCCAGCCCACAGGAUCAGGGGAGCCCUCCUGGUGCAGGUGACCCUUGCGCUGAGUUCUGAGGGACUAGAAAAAACUGGCCAACCCCAGGAGAAGCGACGACGGACAGGACAAGAGCAGUGAUGAGUGGAGUGAGGGUGUCUGUUUCUUUAAGAAGCCCGUUAUGCAUUGCUGCUGGAGCAGAUUACGAUUCUAUCAGCAC
rnacentral:lncRNA from 1 species